UAAGAUUCAUGAGUAUUUUUUAAAUUGCU
rnacentral:piRNA from 1 species